CCCCGCACUGUCUGCAUGCAGCUCCUUGCCAGCGAGGGUUCACGUUCCUGGCUGGGGCUGCUCACGCUGCCCUCCCUCGCACCGGCUCCUCUCCCUCCCCAGGUGGUACCUGAAGAUGCUGCAGUGCUACCGCUGCCGGCAGUGGUUCCAUGAGGCGUGCACUCAGUGCCUCAGUGACCCCAUGAUGUUCGGGGAUCGGUUCUAUGUGUUUUUCUGCUCUGUGUGCAACCAGGGACCUGAGUACAUCAAGCGCCUGCCCCUGCGAUGGUGAGAAACAGACGUGGCCCUGUUGUGCUGUGCCAGGUCCCCAUUGGGCUCAUGGGACACCAGUGUGCUGUGCUGUGCUGUGCUGUCAGGGAGCCAAAGCACGCCUUCACCAGGAGAUAACUGCAAAAAGCAAUUUGGGAAUGAG
rnacentral:lncRNA from 1 species